GUAAAGGAAAAAGAGGAAAUGUUAAGUCUCUGAGGAUGUUCUCUCUGUAACAAUCCAAUCCUGUUAGCAUUCAUGCAUCAUUGGCAAUGUUAGUAACACCGGUCUGCAUACCCUUCUGAGAGCUGAACACUUUAAGUGAGUGUUAGUAGCUACAAAUGCAGCAUUUUUUCUUUCCAGACCAGCCCUGACAUGACUGUUUGCUAGUGCUCUACACUGUCUUCUACUUGCCAAGCACAGAUUCUAUGCUUUCAGAUUCUGAGAGCUCUGUCCUUUCUUCCCACUGACCUCCCAUUAGCACAGACCACACGAGGUGAUGGCUGCACCACCCACUCGCUGAGACCAGGGCUGUGUACACUGAUCCUACUAGGUGUGAAUGCCCCCACUCCUUGUCAGAGGCUUAAAAUACUGUGUUUAGUCUCUGGGAGUCUAUGCCUUUGCUUGUAGAGGUAUUUCCCACCUACUCCAGAAGGACUCCAUGCGUUACUGUGCUCCACAGCACAACAUCCUAGAGAGAUGAGUGUGAGUUGAGGUUUUGGAAAUUCUUUACAUAGAAACACCAUGCUUAAACUUUCCAAAGCAGGACAUUCAAUUUGCUGUCUCUGCUUGGUCUAUCCAUGUUAGUGGCUAAGAGAUGGGAAAUGUCAAGCCAUUCUUGAAGUAUAUAAUGCAAUAACAGCCUCUGAAAAACAAGAAAGCUUAGAAUUUACAUUUUUUGACAUUUGGUAAACCAUUAACUACCAUAAUAACUACAAAUAAAAUCUGGUGAAAAAAAUGCCUAAAGUCUUGGACAGCAUCUGCACAGCAGAAUUUCAGUCCAGUGUGGUAUUAAAGAAAUGUUACCUAACCCCCCCAAAAAAACCCCUGGGCUUGUAGUGGAAAUGCUGACAUCUUAACCCCUGCUGGUGCUAUUUAGCCUUAAGAAAAAAAUAUAAAUACUGUAACCCAAAGGCACAACAUGGCAAAUUACAUAGGCUCAUAUAAGAUGUGGCUUUGUACUCAGCUGGGGAAAAUUUUAUAACAGAGCUACCAAGCUCUCCUUAGAAAUGUAUGUGAGGCAUCCCAACAGCAUUUCUACCCAAACGCUCAGUAUGGAUCUCAAGGCAGUUUUUGCUGUAAGGAAUCCUCGCAUCCUGGCAAGAUUCCACAGUGAGUUUAUCUUGACUUCAGGGAAAGUCCCUCAUGCUAACCCCCUACCUCCUCUCUGCUAUGUUAACAACACAGGCUUUCCUUUUUUUCACUUGCUGCCCAGAUUUGGCUGAGCAGUCUCUGUCCCAGUACCAUGAAACAACCACUGGACUCUCCUUCGGGUGGGUGCCUUGCCAGCACAAGUACAGGUCUGAUUCAGUGAGCAGCCCAAGGCAGCACCAGCCCCUGCCCUGACUGUGUGAGCCCUGGGGGAAGGAAGAACAGUCAGGGGGGGAAGGCCAUGGCUUUUGAAAGUGCUUUUCCUUGAAUUACCAUCAGAAAACAGGAACUAGAAGUGAUAGAGUCUCCAGAGUGCUGCAUAUGAGAGAACUGCUCAAUUGGGCAUGGGGCUAAUAGGGCUUACAUACACAGGAGUUUUUUAAAAAAAGAAUAGAAAAAUAUUGCAUUUAUGACGGGUCACUCCUGUUCCGCAGAGUCACCUACUGCACUGUAAAAGGUAUCUAAGGACAAAACUUUUAAGGAAAUUGUUUCUGAAGUUACUGGAAGCUUCCCAUAAUGGGUCACUCCAGACAGUAUCCCUCCCAGGCCACUCUCAUGUAGUACUGGGAUUAUAUUGUUUGCCAGAGAAAAUUUUAACUUGUAUCAACAUCACUUCUUCAUGCUUUUUCUGCCAGUGACGGUUAGUGACCAGACUAGAAUAGUUUGCCAUAUAUAUUUUGCAUCCCUUUUUUUCCCCCAGCUGUGUACUGCCAGUCAAAUGCUUUCUACCCAAGUCAAGAACAGAAGGAUUUGGUUUUAAGUCAUGUUUACUCAAAAGUUCCUUCCAAGAGCUCCAAAAUUACAACCAACAAUGGAGUUGCUUCAGUGAGUCAUUCAGUGUGUUGAAGUGAUCCUCUGAGAGAACUGACAAUGUUCAGUAAAAACAAAGGGCUGUUUCCUGGGUAGCCCAUCUCCACCAGCCCGUUUCCUGCUGUGAACACAGUGGCAUUCGGCUGCUUGCUAAUAUGCUGGGAAACUGCUUGACCAUCCCAGAGAAAAGAAACAACAGGGUGUUCAUGGCAGGCAGCCAGAGGCCCCACGCAGCGCUGGAAGCAGGAGGAAUGGGGCACUGCUGCAGUUUGGCUCUGCUUCACCUGCUGCUUGCUGCCUAGAUGGACAAUGCAGGACUCAGAAUGUGUCAGCUUCAAAAAGACAAAUAUUGGUUGCUCAGUGUGAAAUUUUUAUACCCACUUGUUCAGUUUUGUUCUACACCAGAAACUGAAUGACUGAACUGCUUAAGGAUAAAAUGAGGCUAUGGGGAGACCUUAUCACUCUCUACAGCUCCCUGAAAGGUGGUUGUAGCCAGCUGGGGGUUUUGAUCUCUUCUGCCAGACAGAACUGACAAAACAAGAGGACACAAUCUAAAGCUGUGCCAGAGGAAGUUUAGAUUACAUGUUAGAAAAAAAUUCUUCACUGAAAGAGUGAUUGGGCACUGGUCUGCCCAAGGAGGUGGUGGAGUCACUGUCCCUGGGCAUUUUUAAAAGAAGACUGGAUGUGGCACUCAGUGCCAUGGUUUAGUUGAUGAGGAGGUGUUAGCUCACAGGUUGGACUUAAUGAUCUCAAAGGUCUUUUCCAACCUAGUUCAUUCUGUGAUUCUGUGAUAAAAGACACCACCACUCUUCUUGCUCAGAGAAUUGAUCUCCAUGAACAAAGUCACAGGCUUCUAAUAUAAAAAAAGGAGUUGAUCCAAGCAGCACAGGUAAUAAGGCAUAGAAUCACAGAAGGCUGGAACAGACCUUUAGGAUCACCGGAUCCACCCAUAAACCUAGCACUGCCAAGUCCUCCACUAAGCCACGUCCCUAAGCACACACAAGUAAAACCACUUGUUCUUCUCACAGAUAAACAUGGUAUUUUGCUUUUGUAACAAGAAUCCCUGGUCACAAAACAGAUGAUAUCCUUGCACCAUGGAGCCUGGAACAUGCAUGGAAGAGAAGCUUGCUCAUGUCCAGUACUUGCAGAGAAAUUCUCCCUCACUCUGCACACAGGAGUUUCAUGCAGCUGCAGUUACUCUGGUAGCCCAUCUUUAGAGGCCUUUCCCACUUUUCAAAAAAUCCUGACAUCCCAGAUGCCAUCUGAAAGAUUUACAGUACUACAAGGAUGCUGGUUUUAUUUACUGUAUUGAUACAAUUCUAAAAAGCUACACUAGAGAUAGACAGACCACACAAAGGAAACCAGUUUCACUCAGCACGGCAGGACUUUUUAUAUCAUCUAGGCACUUUUGCUCUUUCCCAGACCUGAAGCAGUGGUCAAGCAGAGUCACUCCUUUAUUUGAAACAAAGAAGUGCUCUGGGUGUGUCUAAAUGCUGUCAAAGAAAGUGAGAGGUUAAAGUGCAAAAGGCUUGAUUCUGGGUAUUCACGAGUGAAAUCCGCCUGCAAGUGCAACUGUGGACAGGAGACCUGAGGUGUCUGCAGGGCUGUGGUUAGCAGUGCACUCUACUUAUCGUGACAUUUAUUUUCCAAAUAAAAGUGCAUCAGAUGCUUUUAUGUCUGCUUCUCUUUAGGCUUUCAAAAAAGUCAUAUGAAAGGCAGAAAAUAUGAUUUUAAGAUAUCCAACAACAACCAAGGUUUGCUGAUAACAUGAAAGACAGCUUUUUUCUCCCAGUGACUUGGGUAUAUUUUCCUGUGUGGAGGAUUAUUACCCAGUAACAACAUGUGAUGAGCAACUUCACAGCAAAACCUCCUGCAGAUGAUAAUCCGGUCUGUAGUGAGUACAAGAAUGUUUCCUGUUGUACCUCCACCCCUCUUUCCUUCCAACGCUUUUCCUUAAGCUGGACUGCUUACUCCUGGUCAAUUCAGAACAGAAGAAGCUCAUCACCAAAGCUUAUCUUGAGUAAACAUUUUGUAACAGUAAUUAAAAGAAUGCCCACACUACUCAACAAAGGGAAAAUGUGGGGCAUUUGUUCUUACUCUCAUGAUCUCACAUGGGUCAUCAGGACAUGGAGUUGUGCUGCUUCUUCUGCCUGAGGAACAGACAGAAGUAACUUCUGUAGUUUUUGAUUUUGUAUAUUUAGAAAUAACUUUUGAAUUUGGAUAUUUACCCGUAAAUAUAUUAAAUUAACUUGCUGCUUCUGAAUGUGAUGCUCAGCCCUUCCACUGCAUUGUUGAACAAUUUUUUAAAUUGGUUUUAUUUUUGAUGGUGGUUUACUUCUGAAGAUGAAUUCAGAAGGAAGGAGGUGACUGCAAAGGAAAUGUUCCAUAUUAGCCACUUCUAGAACAGGGAUAGCAGCCCCAUCUGACACUCACACAUUUAUUUUCUAACAAAUGCCAUUGCACUUCAUACCUCAUGAGGAUUAUUUUCCCUUUUACCACUUCUCUUUCAAGAAUGCCUGUGGUCACCCAAGUAUAAAAAAAAAUCCUGCAUUUCAAACCAGCAAUUUUCCUUGUUUAUGUGUUAAAGGAAACAGAUGGUGUUCCCACAAACUAUCUAGCCCAACAACAUUCUCAAAACAUUGUUAACCACUUAAUCCGUGCAGAGCAGCUAACAGGGACCAGCUUUGGCUCUGGUGAAACAUGUAAUGAGCCUUCAAACUUUCAGUACUGCAAAACAAAGACAAUUGAGCAGAAAGUUUGUUCUGUUCUUUCUGAAGACCACGCUCUUCCAAAAGCAAUUACUUGGGCCUUUUUCAUACCAAUGGCAUGUCCCUAACCAAGAAAAAGGAGCUGAAUGUGCAUGUACUUUACAAAAUAUCCAGCCCUGUGGUUCAUUAAAUCCCGCUUUCCUAAAUAUAGGGGGUGAAAAACCAACAUUCUAUUUCUUCCAGUAUUAAAAUGCAUGUUAGGCUGCAACAGAGAACAUUCCUAACUAUGGCAACAAGAAGACCAUUCUCCUGCUCACAGCAGAUACACAACACUGUAGUUUACAUUGUUUCACAAGGACAAAGAGCAAAUAAACCUAUUGAAGCAAACAAAAUUACUCUGACUUUAUAGCAGUACCGUGAGGACAGAAUUUGGCUUGUUCUCAUGAACUGCAGUUCCUGGUAUGCAGAAUGAAGGGAAACAAGUGAGUUUUACAGGUGACAGAACUGAUCAGAGGUACAUUACACCCCUGCACCCACCCAAACCACAGGCAGAGGGGAGCUAAAAAGAGCAGCUUGCUAUCUCCCAGUAUGGCCUCUCAACCCCAAGAGCCCACUGAUGCCUGCCGACUGCUUUUUAAAUAGAUUUUAAAUAGUGCUUUUUGAAGGUGGGAAAGAAGGGGUGUAUAUUUUAAAUCAGGACAAAUAACUGUAAUAAAACAUUUUUUCACCCCACAAUGCUCUCCUCUUCACCCCACGGGCAGGGCUCAGCAGCUGAUGAGCUACUGCCAUCCACUGCUUACCCUGGGAAGAGUUCUGCCUUGGAGGAGGCAAGGUGGUGGUGCAUAAAAGGGGGCUUGCAUAAAGGCUGGGUGUGGGAAAAAUGAAUCAAAGCGUAAGAAAAUGAAAAAAAAAAAAAAGUCAUGUCUGUUUACUGUUGUAAAUUAUUUCUGUAAAUUUAACAUGAAGCUCUAAUUGUUGAAAUUCCGUUGCUGAGCCCCUUAAAUGGAUACGUAAGAGCCACCUGGGCUCUCUUAGGCUUGAAACAAGCAUAAAACACACAAAGAGUGUAUAGGGAAAUAGCAGAGAGAAUAAAGGGGAAAAAAAACUCCCUAUUCUCUUGAAGUCCUAGCCUUAUGCAAGGCAGUGACAGAAGCCAUUGAAUUAUGUCAGAUCAGACAGUGAACCACUUCUUAGCCCUUCUUUCCGUUCUGCUGCAUGUACUUAGGAAGCCAUGAGUGUCUCUUUAAAUAUUUUCCAAUUUUUUUCCCCUAGGGGAAGUUUUAGUGCCUAAGUUGAACCGCAGGAAGGUUGGGUUGAAAAACACCCAGGUAAUUUAGGUAUUUGAAAGAAACUGGCUAGGUGGCUAAAACUGUCAUUUUUACAGAAAGCACACAGUUUCCACUCAUGUAUUCUGCAAGCUGCAUCAGGAUUUCCAGCGACUGAUGAUAAAUUUCCUGACAGUAAUACCUACCAUAUCACUUUCUGUUGCCUGCUCUGAAAAAACCAAGCAAUCGUGUUUUUACUUACUUAUUUGCUGUAUACAAUGACAGUGUACUUCCCUGCUGCCAACGAGUAAAGGUUGGAGUGCUAAGGAUACUCUUAUCAGUGUUUGGGUUUGUCAGUUGCUACAGGUCUUAAGAUUAUGAACUCAUAGCACUUUAUUUUAAUCCAAAUAAUGUAUGAACAUUGGGCCACUAAAAAAUGUUCUGGUGUAGUAUUUUCUGCCAGGCCUGAGCUCUUGGAGAGCUUUGAUCAAGUCUCACAAGCUGGAAGAAGGUGGAGGAAGUCUGUAGAGGCAGUUUUUCUGAGGCACUGGACUUGUAGCUCAACUAUGAGUUGUUUCUGGGGUUAAGGCCCAAAUGUCUCUGCCCGGCAAGAGGAAAUUGACAGAAAUGGCUGUAUUGAUUUUCUGGGCUGAGCGAGUUAUCAGCUGUAGCACGUGGCAAAAAGGAACGCAGCACCGAGGCGCAUUGUGACACCUCUGCUUGUUUCUGAGGAGGCGUUCACCACUGAGAUUUCUUAGAAUACUCAGAUGUGCGAAGAUAAGAACACAUGACAAAUACUACCCCGACACAGAGCUGAUUUAUUUCUUGAUGCUGCUUUUAUCUUUAAAAAAACCCGCUUAUUUUCUCCUACACUAUUUCCAUGUGCUGUCCAAGGUCUACACCUAUGAAGAUUCUGCUGUAAAUGCUCUCAAAACCUAAAGCAGGUCCAGAUGUCACUUAUUCAUGGUGUGUUAAAAAUGCUUAUGUCUGCAGGCUCAAGCACUUAAACAGAAACUUUUAAAUGUGCCUAUGAAGUGCCAGUAGAUGCCCAGUCUUAGAAAAUGCCCAUGUGGUAUUGUCAUAACAGCACGUAAGGAAAAUGGGUGUUACAAUUUUGAGGCUGUAUUAUUUCAACAAGACUUACAUGAGUUUUGGGUUGUGAGUCUUGAAGAUACAGAGGACAAGUUGUGGUAAAAAAUGUGACAUCACAAGCUGGCCUAGAUUUAAACCCUCACUGCUGGUGAAAAGGGUAUAACCAAUUGUUUUGCAACUAGCCUAAUCCUGAAUUUUUAACUUCUGGUAUGACUUCUUAUGACUUCUUCCAUUAAUCAGCACACAAAAGCAGGGUCAUACAAUAUUUUUAAGUUUUGUUUUUUUCGUAAUCUGAAGUGAAGGUUUAUAGUCUUUCCAAACAAUUAAAAAAAAAUAAAUCUGUGGAGUUACAUAAAUGUUCUAAGCUCUGAUUAGUAUAAAAUGACAGGGCUCUAUGAAGUGUGGUGGAAUAGUGCUGAACUUGCAUUAGCUUUCGCUUUAGAUGAUAGCGUUGAAUUUUUUCUCACUGAUGUUCAUGAUUGCAAACUAAACGCAGAUAAAAAGGUCUGUAUCUCCAGAUCUUACCAAAUGAGCUGUACAAAGCACAAAAAAAAUCUCAACAGCUUUGUCACUUUGGCAAGAUUUGACUGGGUGUUUUUUCUUCUUUAUUUUAUGAUGUUUUCGUGACAUGAUCCCGCUCUCUCUCACAUCAACUCUAGGGCUUGCUGCCAGUUGUGUUACGAGUAACAUUUCUGCUUGCUUCAGUGGAACAGGCUUGGCGCUGGCUGACCUUGAAUUGCAAGGCUGACUGGGAAGGGGUAUUUCCAAGACUCUGGUAAGAGUCAUUCUUGCUCACAAAAUGUAAUUAAAGACAGUCAAGCCAACACUUCUGAGAAUGUCCCAUUUUUGAGAGGAGAGGAAGAGAACAAGAGAGAUGAGCAAAUCAUACCAUUACUAUUAAAUUAUCGUCAUUUUAAAGCGGAGAGUGAAGAGGAUAGCUGUCCAACAUUCUUGAUAAGAGUUUUACCAGUGUCAUGUCAUCUCCAUGACAAUUACUCAUAUUUAGGCACAGACAUGAUCAUUUUUGCAUGCAUUGGCCAACAGACCUAAAAAGCUGAUGUGUACAGGACUGGUGAUAGAACAGGCAUGAAUUCUGAAGUAACGUCUAUGGAUGGGUCUUACAGAGAAAGAAUCCCCCCCAGUUAUUGUGUGAUCAGUUUUAGUGGAGGAAUACGCAUGUCUGCUAAAGCAUUCUCUGGAAAACCGUGAUUAAGUCUGAGCCACAGUUUUGAUAAAUGAAAAGUAUGUGGCAAGACUCAGCACCUCAGCAUUUGGAUCUCUUGUCCACGAUAGAAAAGAGCAUCUUGCUUUGGCCACCCCAGCCUGUCCAGUCUCCCUACUUUAAAAAGGUUGUCACAUGAAGAACCAAUUGCAAACCAGAGCUUGUUUUCUGUGCUCAUAAUACUAUGACUGUCUCUUUUCAAAGACAGAAGCCCAACUUUAGGGCAAGUUUGGCAGAGGAGAGGAAAGAAAGAAAGAGGAUGGGGUGUUAAGAAAGAUAGAGCAGAGCGUGUCUUGCUGUGAAUGACAUGAAAUCCUAAAGGCUCACAAUCAAAAAUCAGUUUGGUUCAGUUCAUGCAAAUAAUUUUAAUUCUUUUGAGGUGCUUCAUCUUUUUUCUGUUAUUUCUUUCCUCCUAUAUUAAAUUUCUAGAUUAGGGGGGAAGCUUCAUUUGGGAAUUGUUGUAACAGGGUAUUUCCAUGACUUCUUGUUUCCCUUCCUUUAAGACAUUUCUCAGAACAGAUCCUUCCCUGUCAACAAUUUCAGUUUUUGUGAAUUGGCAUUUCCCAGUGGGCAAAAAAAUGGUUGAGAUGAAGCAUUGCCAGAGAGUUUCAAUUCCACAAGAGUGUUCUCAGAGGUACACUUGGGCAGAAACAAUGGAAGUGCCCCUAAAUCAUUUAACUUGGGAACUACGCUGCUCUGAGAGAGAGAGGCAAAUAAAACCUUCCAUAAGGAAGAAACUUGAUUUGAUUGUAUUUCAUUUGUAGAGGCUUUCUGGUUCACAAGCUGUAUUGGCUCCAUUUCUGUCUGGGUAUCUAAGGGCAGCUGUACAGACAAGUGCUUCUAGUAAGUGGUGUUUAGAUUAGCACAGCUUGCUUUGGCAAGUUUAUGGAAGGCAAAGACACCUUUUAAACAGAUAUAAACUCCAUCCUUAAUUUUUUUUUUUGCUCAGUCACGACUGGUUUUAUACCAGACCUCAGUCACGACUGACUGUGCAUACGUUAAAGUUGUGAUGGCAAAACCCAAUGGGAAUAUAUUACUGUCUUUUAAGGAUUAGGGAUAGACUGGCUUAUGGAAGGUUCCUGUCUCUUAGGAACUUAACUACCUUAAGUUCACUUUGCUCCCAUUUUAACAGCCUGUUUAAAAACAGUCUGUCAAAAAAAAAAAAAAAAAAAAAAAAAAACAAAACCAAAAAACCAGAUGCAAUACUGCCACUGCUAUAUAAAAAAGAAAAAUUGAAAUGUUUCAUGCAAACAUAUGGAAUGAUGAUAUUCUGAUGCUGAUUAGACAUCCUCCAAACUGAAACAUCUAAAAAAAUCAUAGAAUGCCUGCCAAGACUUAAGAUUUCACUAGAAUUGUGUUUUCUGAUGGCCAGCAGCAUGUCUUCAUCUACCCAUUUCCUAUCUCCAGAAACCACACUUCCUCCUUAUGAUGAGAUUCACUUUCUGAAUAAUCAGUUUUCCACUCAUGUGGAUUUUUUUUUCUAAAAUGCUCUGCUGCUGUGCUUAGUUUUUAGUACUUAGAGGGCAAUUUAGGUUACCUGAAUUUAGUGAUUUGUUUCAGACAUAACGAAAGGUUCAGUUAGGUUUCUAACCACCAAGAAAGAGCCCAUAAGCUUGCAUAUUUCUUUUAUUAUUACUAUUACUAUUGUUUUACUAUUUUUAGCAAGGUUUGAUCCUGCUUUUGUGCAGACAGAUUUCUGUCCCUGGAGACCUUGGUUAUUGGAUGAGAUUGCAGGACCGGCCUUUUUUUCUGAUACUCCAAGGGAAAAAUGCAUACCUCUGGUCUACAAAUAGAACUGAUGAAAAAGAGCCCUGUGCUCAGGGAGGAACAGGGAGUAAUGUUGAGCUCAUAUAUUUGCUCAGCCUAAUAAAAUGCAGUCUUUUUCUUGAAAUACUUCUCCACAAAUCACAUCAGUGACUAACUACUGCUUACUCUGCCUCGUGGAUGAGGGAUUAACUGCACUGACUUUUUAUCAGUAAAAUGGUUGUUCUCCUAUUAACGUCACAUGGAAAGUUACAAGGGAAACUCCCGAGCCUAAGAAAACAGCUGCGUGCUGUUUUAACCACUGAGCUUGCAUUUAACUUGAGGUAUUUUCAUCCUUUAGAGCACACUUUGUGAAAGCGAGUUCUGAGUGUUGAGGUAUGUGUUUCCAUUCCUGCUGCACUCAGCAAACUUCCUGUGUGUUCAGCACUUUAGCACAGAAGCAAUAUUUUGUUACGAGGGAUACAAAUCCCCAAAGUAGAGUUUGUAAUGUGAAAGCAGAAGAGAAGAGGGACUGUAUGAUCAGUGUUGGGGCCAUUUAUGGAAACCCCAUCACAGGAAACUGUGGUAUUUCAGCUGAGGGUAAAUGGGGACAUUAUCUUGGAAUGUAAAUACAUUUUACCAACAAACUGCAAAACAUGAGAUAUGAUCCCAUUCCUUCUGAUAACAAAAUAAUCUGUCGCACAACUAUUUACUGUGCUUAAUGUCUCUUAUUUCAUAAAUGUGAAAAUAGGCAAGGAAAAGAAGACAAUAAUGUAAAGGCAGGCCUAUUUCUGGAACUAACAUUAUAAGGAGCCAUUUCUUUCUUCCCAGCUAGGACAGUACUUGUGUAAUUGGAAGGGAAAAGUGUCAUAAUGUGGCUAACUGGCUCCUGUUACUGACAUCUGUGCUGGAAUUGUCAGGGUGGUGCUGCUUGUGGGGUGCUGUUUCUCCUUUCUCGUUCAUUGAACCAGCAUGACUCUUAACAUAAAUAAAACCCAGGGAACGAGGUCUGUUCCCAGAGCCAUGGUUUACCCAAACCUCCUGCUGAAGACAGCGACCUCUUGAUAAAGGCAGGAUGGCAGGGUGUGAAACCCUUGAUUUGUCAGGGACAUGUUUAUACUUGGAAAUGGGCCAGGAAUGAAGAUGAGUUUCUUCCCUAUUCCGCUCUAACCACUUUUAAAAGGUGGAUAAAUCGGAGUGUUUCCUGAACUGCAGCGUUCCAGUUCAAACAGACCAACAAACAAAAAAGGUGAUUUGCUCCAAGCUGGCAUUAAUCUCUAUUUGCCUGAGUUGGUCCAUGCCCUGUGGGAGCUGUAGCUCAGGGCUGGUAACUCCCACAGCGUGAUCUCUUCCCUGGACAAACAUCAGCCUCAUUCUGUUUUGUGCAGAGGUUCCUUGACCAACAGUUCUCCUGACAGCUACUGGUUCCUACAGAAAGCUGUUUUCCAACCAGGAAAUAAUUCCCUUAAUUUUUUUUGGCCAAUGCUAUUUUCAGAAUGGUAGGGACAGCACAACAGAUCAGCUAGGGGAAACACUGAACCAGAAAAUGAGUGUUUAAAUUAUGGCAGUGACUUCUUUUUUUCAUGUGUAGCUUUCCCUACUUGACAACUUAGGUGUGAACUAAUGAUUAAUCACUAAUGAUUAAUCAGAUGCAAAAGAAUCUUUGUCCUUUGUUGGCACCUUUCCCAAAGGAUGUUCUCAAAGCAAUCUGUAUAGAAUGACUUCCCUCAUAAUUAACCUACAUAUUUUGCAGAUGAGAUGCAAAAGUACCACUCAAGACCGGGCAGAAUUCUGCGACAAGGAUAAAAUCCAGGUUUCCUGGAUGUCAGAUUUGUCUGAAGAGUCCUUCUCUUUACUGGCUGCAGCAAAAGAGAGACUGCUUAGUACGAGCUUCACAAACAGUGUCACGGUGACUUUCACGAGUCAGCAGAAUCAGCCCUGAGAAAAACGCAAUUGUGACCACAGCAAGAAACCUUUUGGAAACCACAGAGGUACCUUUAACCUGCUGUGGUGAUCAAGAUGGCAGUCUCUACUUUUCAACACCUGGAAAGAAGUUCUGGUCAAAGACAUCUUUCAACACUUGUGGGCCUUAUCUCCAAAGAUUUGACAAAUCUGAAAAUUUUUUUGAUUCUGUGGGCACUGUAGCCCAUAUAUCAUUAUUCCUUCUCAUUGGUCUCAUCAGCUCAGAGAGUGGGGACAGUUACAUGAAAUUAACUGGACUUGCUCUGAAGAGACAUGGAUCUGUCCAUCAACUGUCUGAGAACCGGCACCAAGUAAGCACUAAGAUCAGCUAUGACAAGACAAAAGCACAGCAGUGAGCUUUUUGUAUCAUUAAAUGCUAAAAAAACCUUGGCCAUUUCCUAGACAAAUCAGCAACAGAGAAAGGGCAAUGAGAAAAUUGUCUUGGAACUUGUUUUCACAACUAGUAAGUUGCACAGAAGUCCCUUUAUAUUCUCAAUAAAAAGAAAAAGGGAAGGCAACAGAUGCAGAGCUACAAAAUCAAGUUCUGUAAAGGCUGGGGAAAAAUUACCUGAUGCUAGAUAGGGAAAAAAAGUUUGUUAUAGAAAUCAGCUGCACUUCAUAAAUUCAAAAAUUUCAUAAAUAAAAUGAAGACACUGGAAGCUACCAGCUUCUUUUAAUAAGACUAAUACUGGAAGUGUCUGAUGCUGUCUUUUGGUCCAGUUAAAUUAACUACAUGAUAGGUGCAGUGGUGCACUCCGCAAAAUCCAAAAGUACCUGUGGUGUCUGUGCAGCAGAUCCAUUCUCCUGAGCUCCCUGUGUUGUUACAGCCCCAUUUCAAGUAAUGAGUGCUUCUCUACAACUAAUGGUUGAUUGGAAAGACUCAGUUCAGCUUCUGUGUCAAGCCUUGCUACCAAUACUGGGAUGUCUGGAAGCUGAAGCCAGGGUCAGGCCUCCACAGUGUUAAUGCUCUGUACAAGCAAAACAAAAAACCCCCACAUUUGUUCUCAAGAAGCUUAAAUUCCUCUUAACCUUGGGCUCGUGAGUGCAGUAGAAAGCAUCUUAUGUAAAAUCACUGAAAACCAGAAGUUUUACAGGCUUCUGUUAAACAAAGUGCUAUCUCAGUUGUCAGCAGGUCAAAGCAGAAGGGAGCCUGACCCUAAUGACUGCUGCCUGGGGAUUUUAGCUGGAACAUACUGCAGGAAAAGGCUCAGCAGAGUCUGCUGACUCUGUCAGAAACUGUCUAAAAGUAAGGGAAUGGAAACGGAUACUCUCAAGAUCAAAUGUAGAUUACAGUGCCCGUGGUCCCAACUUUCUACAUUGGUUGAGACAAAAGUAAAGCUUUCAAGCUCUCUCUAGGUAAAGUGAACCUGGGGUUUGAAACUUCUGUCUGAGGUUUCCUUUAAUGCCAUUUAAAGUCCAUUAGAUAAAAGCUGGAAAGGUGCAAUUUGUAUUCUCUGUACACCUCAGAUUUUUCUUUCUUUUGCACCUAGGAUGCAUGACCCAGUAAGCAAGAGAUGCUGCUCUGAAAUCUGUCAGCUGUUCUACUUACAGAACCCAAACUAAAAAAUAAGACUCUGUAAACUGUUUUUCUUCUCAAAUCUUGAAGGAACUACAUGCCAAAUUCAGCUGGAUAAAUGAAGUCUAUUACAGAACUGUCAAAGGUGUCUACUCUCUCCUUAGCCUGUUGCAAUUGGUGGCUAACACAUGUCCAGCUGGAUGAAGACACAUGAAAAUACUUUGAAGACCACGAUCUGUUCUGUUCUGGCUGCCCUUCUCUGCAGUGAGGAGAACUGACAGAAUUCUGUAAUUCAUAGUCUGGAGGAUGAAGGGGGUGUUUGUUGAUGAGGAUAAGUGGCAGAAGAGGGAAAAGGCAAGAGUUAAAGAGAGUAGUGGAAACAUCUACCACUUCUGUUAGAGUAAACACAUCCAGUGACGUGGGUAACGAGAGUGUGUGAGGUGCCCACAGCCAUGGAAGCAAACGUAGGAAUAAUAAAUUACAUGCUACAGAUUAAACACAAUGGUCUCUUUAAGGGCCGAGCGCGGCGGUGCCAAGCUCCCAGCACAGGGCUGCCGACUUGACUCCUCUCAGCCAGCUCCACAAUGAAUGAACGCUCGAGGAAGAGGUUCAACCAACCAUAAGCUCAAAGGAUUCCUGCUGCAUCCCUCAGAGGUGCAAUAUGAGGAUACUGAUCCCCGCUCUGUGCUUGGCUGCUGAGGCGUACUGUUUUGUUCGGCUUUGUCUUGUUUUAUAAUAUUGCUUCCUGUGUGUGGAGUUUAUGUGCAAACAGGACUGGGAAAACUGCCUCUGCUCUUCACUGAAAGAGGGUGGGACCCCUUUUUUCUAUUAUUGGGCAAACUGUUCCUUAAAAUGAGAAACAGCUUCUCUCCUAUGUUUAGCUUGGGAGUAGGAAGGGAGGAACAAAGGAAGGAAAGGUGGAGGCAAUGUCUCUGAACAAACCAGUAGCUUAAUUUUGGCUGGAUCACUUUUAGUUAUCCAUCUCAUGAUAUUUUUGAUACAGAUUCCCAUCUUUUAGAUUUCUUUAAAAUGAAUGACUGCUAUUCCAAAGUAAGCUUAAGCAUUUACAUACCCUUGUAGGGCUGCAUUAGGCCCAACAGUAAUGAUCUGCCUGCGAGAUAAAAGGAUCGUUCUGAAAACCCUGUAAAAAGUGAGUUUUAGUCUGAGAUACACCGUUUGCCUACAAGCAGGACUGGCAGAGGAGAGGAAAAUUUUAGCUCUAUUGUGCCGUCUGACAGAAGGGUUUAAGCGCAAGAGUCAUUGGACAGUUUAACUUUGGUUCUUUUCAGCUCCCAUCUCCUUUUCUAUUUCUCACUGUCACUGCCCCUGAAAUAAAGCAUUCAUUGUGCUGUGCUGGCAAGGAAAGCAACUCUUGAGGCACAGUAGGUAACAGGUCUGUCUGUAACAAGCAACCUAUCACAAAGGCUACUUAACAGAAGUUGACAGAGGUCACUGAAUAAGACAUUCAGCUUUGAAAAAUGUCUUUUGCUGGUCUGCUCAAACCUGGAAGAAGGCAGUGUAAACAGCAAAGGCAGUACCUGAUACACACAAAGCUGCACUGGCAUGUCCUUAGGCAGGUCCCUGUGGGCAGUGACAUGGGGAAUGGACUAUGAAAUGGCAACACUUGGCCAUAACAGCCCCAUCCAUGUGCAGCCCUGAAACAACUCAUUGCCAGCAACAAGAUGGGUGCAGGCUUUUGCUCUUUAUCUCAAUAUGAAGCCUACAGCUAUGCAGAGGAGGCAGGAAGUGCUACCACAACAUGUAUCAAAGAGCCUCUGCACCAGCAGGGUGUCACAGCUACAGCAGCUGCAGCAAGGGAAAGGCCCCUGAGCACCCACCUGUGCCUGGCUCUGGAACUCUGAGCUCCAUGGCUCUCAGCUAAUGACAAAAUAAGGAGCCCAGCUGGAAAUGCUCCCCAUGGUAAUGCUUCAGUUCACUCCUCAGGCAAAGCCCAUAGUUCUAGUUUUCAGGCACUCUCUUGCUUUCUAACACCAAAACCCACAAGUUCUUGGUUUAGUGAAGAUACUUCUCUGGUCAAGCACUGCUCACCCAAACAAUUCCAAGUCCUGCUGGAUGGAAAUUAAGGCAGUUUUCCAUGCACAGAUUUGGAAGACUGGCUUCACAGCUACUGAGAGAGCUGUGAGCCAACAGACACAGCAGAGCCAUAAGCAGGAAAGGUCUUUAUCCACCCUAAGUAUCCUUACUCUCUGGUCCUGUGCAUCUCUGGAACACAGGCUGUUAGUCAUGCUAAAGUAGACCAAGCUGCCUGGAGGUUGAGAUGUGGAAAACCUUCUUUCUGCAGGGCAGAGAGGCAAGUGCCUUAUUUCAGAGUUCCACCAAGUUGUCCCAGCCCCUCUGUCUGCCUGAGAGGCCUGAUUUUCAGAGUUUGCCCUGGCUGGGACUUUUUUUUUUUUUUUUUUUUUUUUUUUUUUUUUUUUUUUUUUUUUUUGAUAGUGAGACAAGUUACUCAGAAAGGAGGAAAAAUGGGAAUGUUCCCUUUCUUACAGGACCACACUUGGGAAAGCCAAAGUAGGCACUACGGCUGUCAUGCUCCAGAUAUUCACUGCCAGUUUUUGCAAACACAAUACUCCACCAAGCAGGGUGGGCAAGCACAGAGCAGACCACCUAGCGCUCAGGCGCUUCACACUCCUGCCCAAGAUGCUGAUGUGGCCCAUUGGUUCAUCCAAGACUGGGAUUCAAAUGUGACAUAAACAUGCGAGAGACCAAUAGUGCUCUGGUCUGAGAACCUUUUUUGCUGCACCACAACUGCUUAAUUUUAAGAAAAUAGGAGAUAUUUGUGUAUCCUUUUUUUUUUUUUUUUUGUAGGUAGUUGGCAAAGUAGUUUGCGAAACUGAAGCACAGCAGAGAACCUGCAGCUUGGGAGGGAAUCCAAAUGCACAUUUAUGAAAGAAGGAAUUAGGAGGCUAGAAAAAAUGGGUAUGGGGGGGAAGUAAAGAAGAAAAAAUGUGAAAAUAAAGGAUAGAACAAAGAUCCUAACUGGUGCUCUGGCCUGUGUGAAUAAAAUACUUCACAAUUCUGCACUGAGUGCAUCAGCUUAUUGCCGUGCCUGAUAUUUCCCAAUGGAAAAGUGAGUUGAAAAGAAAGAUUUCUGGCUCCAUAUCUAUUGAGAGCAACAAAAUAAUAAUUCUACAUUGGCAAGAAGGAAAAAAACCCCAGGCUGUCUCUGUUUGCUCAGACGGUAUUCUUUCGUCUGUUGACUGAGUUUUGGUUUAUUGGCUUGCCCAGUUUUAUUUCAGUUAGAGGGGGUGAGAGGCAUUACACAGGUAAUCACAGAAACAUAAUAUCCUAGGUGUUAAAUAAGGUGUUUCUGAUGCCGCCAGGGCUGUACUGCAUCACAAACCCCACGUGAAUGGCACAGAGCAGGAGGAGUUCAAGGGAAGCGGGGCCUCUCCCUUUCCCUACGCGGCAGCGCCGUGCGCGCAGCCAGAGGGACGCGGCGGUCCUGGGUCUGCUGGCAAGGGGCACGGCUGGGGCAAUGCUCCUUCGGGGCAACAGCCUGGCACUGAGCACGGCGCUGCUGGGCUGGCAGACCACCCACCCCGCGCUGCUGCCAUCACAGGCGUCACACACGGAGUGCGACAGAAACACCUACAGUCAUGCAGAGCACUGGUCCGCUGAUCAUGUAUUCCUCUUAUUCCUCUCACUCCCCCUGACCUCCUGGGGUUUUACAGGAGUGCUGGAAUAGCAUUCUCUUUGCUCUUUCUGGGAAUACAAACCACAUCCCCUGACUUACCUUCAGGAUCUAUUAAUAUUUUGGGAAAUUCCACCACACCUAACUCACUAAGCUUUCUGUAUAUGUUUCACCCUCGUAACUGGUUUCCUUUCCCCCCACCCAAGGAAGGGUGUGAUCUUGUUCCAUGACUUUAAAAGGCCUUUUCAAAUCUGUCUGAGGGCUGUGUGCCUUUUGUGACAUCAACAGGGAUAGGAAAAAAAAAAAAUCAAACAU